rfam:TPA: Bos taurus chromosome 21, whole genome shotgun sequence.
UCCCUGGUGGUCCAUUGGUUAAGACUUUGCACUUCCAAUGCAGGGGUCCUGGUUUGAUUCCUGGUUGGAGAA